GAUGAACGCUGGCGGCGUGCCUAAUACAUGCAAGUCGAGCGAACAGACGAGGAGCUUGCUCCCCUGACGUUAGCGGCGGACGGGUGAGUAACACGUGGAUAACCUACCUAUAAGACUGGGAUAACUUCGGGAAACCGGAGCUAAUACCGGAUAAUAUAUUGAACCGCAUGGUUCAAUAGUGAAAGACGGUUUUGCUGUCACUUAUAGAUGGAUCCGCGCCGCAUUAGCUAGUUGGUAAGGUAACGGCUUACCAAGGCAACGAUGCGUAGCCGACCUGAGAGGGUGAUCCGCCACACUGGAACUGAGACACGGUCCAGACUCCUACGGGAGGCAGCAGUAGGGAAUCUUCCGCAAUGGGCGAAAGCUUGACGGAGCAACGCCGCGUGAGUGAUGAAGGUCUUCGGAUCGUAAAACUCUGUUAUUAGGGAAGAACAAAUGUGUAAGUAACUAUGCACGUCUUGACGGUACCUGAACAGAAAGCCACGGCUAACUACGUG
rnacentral:rRNA from 1 species